CGGGCUAAGAAAAGGAAUCGUGCUGCAUUGGGUACACCAAAAGUUCCUGAUGUCAAAUGGGAGGAUGUUGGUGGGCUUGAGGAAGUGAAGAAGGUUAUUCUAGAUACAAUUCAGUUACCUUUGUUGUACAAGCCCCUUUUUUCUUCUAAAUUGCCAAAGCGAUCAGGUGUCCUGUUAUAUGGACCUCCAGGCACGGGG